UACGGGGGGGGGCAAGCGUUGUUCGGAAUUACUGGGCGUAAAGGGCUCGUAGGUGGCCAACUAAGUCAGACGUGAAAUCCCCAGGCUUAACCUGGGAACUGCGUCUGAUACUGGAUGGCUUGAAUUCGGGAGAGGGAUGCAGAAUUCCAGGUGUAGCGGUGAAAUGCGUAGAUAUCUGGAGGAAUACCGGUGGCGAAGGCGGCAUCCUGGACCGAUAUUGACACUGAUGAGCGAAAGCUAGGGGAGCAAACGGG
rnacentral:rRNA from 1 species